rnacentral:lncRNA from 1 species
CGUAAAUCGAUGGCUCUGUUUAUAGAUGGCGUAAAUCGAUGGCUCUGUUUAUAGAAGGCAUAAAUCGAUGGCUCUGUUUAUAGAUGGCGUAAAUCGAUGGCUCUGUUUAUAGAAGGCAUAAAUCGAUGGCUCUGUUUAUAGAUGGCGUAAAUCGAUGGCUCUGUUUAUAGAAGGCAUAAAUCGAUGGCUCUGUUUAUAGAUGGCGUAAAUCGAUGGCUCUGUUUAUAGAUGGCGUAAAUUGCUCUAUUUAUAGAUGGCGUGAAUCGACAGCUCUGUUUAUAGAUGUCGUAAAUUGCUCUGUUUAUAGAUGGCGUAAAUCAUCGCCUCUGUUUAUAGGUGGCGGAAAUCGAUGGCUCUGUUUAUAGAAGGCAUAAAUCGAUGGCUCUGUUUAUAGAUGGCGUAAAUUGCUCUAUUUAUAGAUGGUGUAAAUCGACGGCUCUGUUUAAAGAUGGCGUGAAUCGACAGCUCUGUUUAUAGAUGUGGUAAAUUGCUCUGUUUAUAGAUGGCAUAAAUCAUCGCCUCUGUUUAUAGGUGGCGUAAAUCGAUGGCUCUGUUUAUAGAAGGCGUAAAUCGAUGACUCUGUUUAUAGAUGGCGUAAAUUGCUCUAUUUAUAGACGGCGUAAAUCGACUGCUCUGUUUAUAGAUGGCGUAAAUUGCUCGGUUUAUAGAUGGCGUAAAUCGACGGCUCUGUUUAUAGAUGGCGUAAAUUGCUCGGUUUAUAGAUGGCGUAAAUUGCUCGGUUUAUAGAUGGCGUAAAUCGACGGCUCUGUUUAUAGAUGGCGUAAAUUGCUCUGUUUAUAGAUGGCGUAAAUCGAUGGCUCUGUUUAUAGAUGGCGUAAAUUGCUCUAUUUAUAGACGGUGUAAAUCGACUGCUCUGUUUAUAGAUGGCGUAAAUUGCUCUGUUUAUAGAUGGCGUAAAUUGCUCUAUUUAUAGACGGUGUAAAUCGACUGCUCUGUUUAUAGAUGGCGUAAAUUGCUCUAUUUAUAGACGGUGUAAAUCGACUGCUCUGUUUAUAGAUGGCGUAAAUUGCUCGGUUUAUAGAUGGCGUAAAUCGACGGCUCUGUUUAUAGAUGGCGUAAAUUGCUCUGUUUAUAGAUGGCGUAAAUCGAUGGCUCUGUUUAUAGAUGGCGUAAAUCGAUGGCUCUGUUUAUAGAUGACGUAAAUCAUCGCCUCUGUUUAUAGAUGGCGUAAAUCACCGCCUCUGUUUAUAGAUGGCGUAAAUCGACGGCUCUGUUUAUAGAUGCGUAAAUCGAUGGCUCUGUUUAUAGAAGGCAUAAGUCAAUGGCUCUGUUUACAGAUGGCGUAAAUUGAUAGCUCUGUUUAUGGAUGGCGUAAAUCGAUGGCUCUGUUUAUAGAAGGCGUAAAUCCGGUGGCUCUCUUUAUAGAUGGCGUAAAUUGCUCUGUUUACAGAUGGCGUAAAUCGACGGCACUGUUUAUAGAUGACGCAGGGAUGUUUUCUGUAAUGUCUCUGAUAAAACCAGCUGAGAUACAAUACGCAAAACCUUCGCUCUGAGCAAAUUAUAUUUUAAGCCUUUCAAUCAUUUUGCCUGUAAUAUGAAAUGGACAGAUUGUUUGGGUUUUCUAGUUAUUCAGAGAUAACGUCUACAAAGUGGGGAAGUGCAGCUUUCUGUUGGACUGGCAUCGCCAUAGCUGGGGCGAGUUCUGCACCGGACUGAGCAUGUAACCAUCUUCAACUUAUAUGUGCAAGGAUGGUAUGUAUGAUACCGUAUGUGCAAGAAUGAUAUGUAUGAUAGCAUAUUUAAAAAGAGUGUAUGUAUGAUAAUGUAUCUGCAAGGAAGGUAUGUAUGUAUGAUAGCAUAUGUGCAAGGAAGGCAUGAAUGAUAAUGUAUGAUCGGCAUUCCCGAACCACCGAAGGGAUCUGAGUGAUUUUUCGUCAAAGUGUGCACUCAGAUCCCAGCUAUUCUGUGACUUUCGUGCGGUUCUGAAAUAUUAAAAUGUGUUUUUUUUUAUGUUUGAAAUUAUUGUAGAUUUUUCUGUACCUGAGAGAUAAUUAAGUUAUAUAGUUUUCUAACGCAACUAUCAUUCAGGCACAGAGGAUCUUAGGAGGAAAAACUUUGUAAUGUCAUGUGAGAGACCCCUUGUAGAUGACAGUGCAUAAAAGCCAUGUGUGACCAAAUAAACUCAGUUGACU